rnacentral:rRNA from 1 species
AGUGAACGCUGGCGGCAGGCCUAAUACAUGCAAGUCGAACGGCAGCACAGCAGAGCUUGCUCUGUGGGUGGCGAGUGGCGGACGGGUGAGGAAUACAUGGGAAUCUGCCCAGUCGUGGGGGAUAACGUAUGGAAACGUACGCUAAUACCGCAUGCGCCCUACGGGGGAAAGCCGGGGACCGAAAGGCCUGGCGCGAUUGGAUGAGCCCAUGUUCGAUUAACUAGUUGGCGGGGUAAAGGCCCACCAAGGCGACGAUCGAUAGCUGGUCUGAGAGGAUGAUCAGCCACACUGGAACUGAGACACGGUCCAGACUCCUACGGGAGGCAGCAGUAGGGAAUAUUGGACAAUGGGGGCAACCCUGAUCCAGCCAUGCCGCGUGAGUGAAGAAGGCCCUCGGGUUGUAAAGCUCUUUUGUCCGGAAAGAAAAGCAAUCGGUUAAUACCCGGUUGUUCUGACGGUACCGGAAGAAUAAGCACCGGCUAACUUCGUGCCAGCAGCCG